UAGAUGACUAUUUCGGUUGUUUCCAGUUUUUAGCUGCUAUGAACACUUGUUUACAAGUCUUUGUGAAAACAUAUGUUUUCACUUAUUUGGGGUAAAUACCUAAGAGUGGGAUUGCCGGGCCGUUUGGCAAGUAUAUAUAGAAGAUUUUUUGGAGCUGAGGGGAGUCUAAGAAUGUUGCUUGGGUGGCUUACACAGGGAGUAACAUAUCAAGGUGAUGGAUUUUAAGAAGAAUUAGCUCAUCUCCGGGGUCUGUCCUGCCUUCCAAGGCCUGAGGAGCUCUGGUAUUUUGAACCAAAUAUGCUUGCCAGAUACCAUGAAGAACACAUUCAUGCAUUCAGCACAUAUCGAGGGCCUGCUGAGUGCCAUGAGAGGAAGACAGGCCCCGUUCCCAUCCUUCAUAUGGAGUUUACAGUCUAGUGGGAGAGACAGGUACAUGAAAGUUCAACCUUCAGAUGAAAGUACCGUACUGAGGGUUAUUUUUUAAGUAAAACUCCACGGAAAGCGUCCGCCUGUGAACACAUGAAGAAGUAGAAGCUCCCCACAUCCAGCCCACAGGGUAAUAUCCAAAAUAUGCGUGUGUCACCCUUUGGCUCCCUGAGGUAAUGAAUCAGUGCAGACUCUGCAAAAGCAGCUGUAUUGAGCCUGCAAGUCACCUCGGCCACAGCCUUCAGAGUUGGAGGGAAGAAACUUCGAGAUUAAAGGGCAGCAUUUUCCCUCUGAAAUGAAAUAAUUGUGAUAUGGGAUUUGCUUUCCCCCCCCACGUUUUGAAGAAAAACAAUGUUCUUCCUGCUGUGAUGAAUUUAUUCAGGAGGUUUGAAAGGAAAGCCGAGUCCCAAGAGGAGGAGGACCCUGAGUCAAGAGGGUGAAGGCUGGGUUUUCAGCACAUGUGUUCUCAUUUAUCAAGGGGCGGUGCUCGGUGUGAAGGGGGAAAAUACCCAGGGUGAAAAGAUUCAAGGGGAUCAAAUUAUUUUUCCAUUUGUCUCAGAAGGAAAGGAAGAGAGGAAAUAAAAGAGGGAAGGAAAAUCAUUUCAUUAUGUGGUAAUCAAAUGCAACGUGGGCUGGUCAGCGAGUGGCAACUUUAUUUUUCAGAGAGGCUCACUCUAGGGUGUCCUGAACCUCCCAGGGUGAGGCUAUGACUGUGGAAUUUGAAAACAGCGGGAGCACAAGAACAGAAGUUGCAGGGAUGUCUACACUUGUCAUCUCUCACAUGACCUCUUGGCUACGGUCCUUCCUCGCCCCACCUGGAUGAAUCGGUUCGAGGGGGAAGAGGGAAAGGAAAACUGAGUUGAACAUUUACUACACGCGAGGCAUUGCGCAUGCGUUUUCUCCCCCACGAUAAACCUGCAAAGUAGACGCUAUUGUCCCUAGUAUAGAGGUGAGCAAAAAGUUUCAGUAUCUUGUGAGCCUUGUCCAAAGGGCCACUGCUAGGAAGACCUAUCCCCUAUCAGAGCCAAGCUCUUUUAGGUAUUCCUCACCGCCCUCCUGACAGGUGUCUCUGGCAUGGGAGCUGCCGGACUGAAGGUCACUUGGGCAUCACAAGAUAAAGGCCCAAAUGAUGUAACACAUCACGCUGCUGGUCAGUUGCUUUGCCUGCUUUAGGGCACAACUGUGGUGUGAAAAUCCCGGGUCCUGAAGCUAUUCAGUCUUCCUGAUCCUGCACCCUUCCCAUGAGCGCAGCACCCUAACAUAGGGAAUUCAGUCCCACAUCCCCCCAAGACCUUUCUCUCAGAUCCUCGCACAGAGCGAAGGCCACUUACGAAAUACCUGCUCGCUGCCACCUUCCAGAAUUCCUCAGGAAAGUCACAGUUGGGCUUCACCUUGACUGUGCACACUGGGCUCAGGAGAGAUGUACUAGGCUCCCCAGAGCUGUGGGGAAAGAGGGAUAGAGUGACCUAGAAGCUGAGGUUUUUGCAG